AGAGUUUGAUCCUGGCUCAGAGAUGUUUAUGAAAGGAGUAAUCCGUCUGAUGAUGAGCCCGCGCCCGAUUAGCUAGUUGGUAAGGUAAAAGCUUACCAAGGCGACGAUCGGUAGGUGGUCUGAGAGGAUGAUCACCCACAAUGGGACUGAGACACGGCCCAUACUCCUACGGGAGGCAGCAGUGGGGAAUUUUACGCAAUGGGGAAACCCUGACGUAGCGACACCGCGUGAGCGAAGAAGCCCUUUGGGGUGUAAAGCUCUGUCAACAGGAACGAAAAAAAUGACGGUACCUGUGGAGGAAGCAUCGGCUAACUACGUG
rnacentral:rRNA from 1 species